GGAAUAUUGGACAAUGGGCGCAAGCCUGAUCCAGCAACGCCGCGUGGAGGAAGAAGGCCUUCGGGUCGUAAACUCCUGUCAGGUGGGAGGAAAGGGUGCCGGUAAAUAGCCGAUGCCUGUGACAGUACCACCAGAGGAAGCCCCGGCUAACUCCGUGCCAGCAGCCGCGGUAAUACGGAGGGGGCAAGCGUUAUUCGGAAUUACUGGGCGUAAAGGGCACGUAGGCGGCUUCGCAAGUCAAAGGUGAAAUCCCUCGGCUCAACCGAGGAAUUGCCCUUGAAACUGCGUGGCUUGAGGCCGGGAGGGGGUAGCGGAAUUCCUGGUGUAGCGGUGAAAUGCGUAGAUAUCAGGAGGAACACCGGUGGCGAAGGCGGGUCUCUGGGCAGUAACUGACGCUGAGGAGCGAAAGCGUGGGGAGCGAAC
rnacentral:rRNA from 1 species